UACGUAGGGUGCAAGCGUUAUCCGGAAUUAUUGGGCGUAAAGAGCUCGUAGGCGGUUUGUCGCGUCUGCUGUGAAAACUGGAGGCUCAACCUCCAGCCUGCAGUGGGUACGGGCAGACUAGAGUGCGGUAGGGGAGAUUGGAAUUCCUGGUGUAGCGGUGGAAUGCGCAGAUAUCAGGAGGAACACCGAUGGCGAAGGCAGUUCUCUGGGCCGUAACUGACGCUGAGGAGCGAAAGCGUGGGGAGCGAACAGG
rnacentral:rRNA from 1 species